rnacentral:tRNA from 3 species
GCCGCCUUAGCUCAGUCGGCAGAGCGUCUCACUCGUAAUGAGAAGGUCAAGGGUUCGAUUCCCUUAGGCGGCUCC